rnacentral:sRNA from 1 species
AGAAUAAUCAUAAAACUCUCGAGUGC